rnacentral:rRNA from 1 species
AUGCAAGUCGAACGGUAACGCGGGGCAACCUGGCGACGAGUGGCGAACGGGUGAGUAAUACAUCGGAACGUGCCCAGUAGUGGGGGAUAGCCCGGCGAAAGCCGGAUUAAUACCGCAUACGACCUACGGGUGAAAGCGGGGGAUCGCAAGACCUCGCGCUAUUGGAGCGGCCGAUGUCGGAUUAGCUAGUUGGUGGGGUAAAAGCCUACCAAGGCUACGAUCCGUAGCUGGUCUGAGAGGACGACCAGCCACACUGGGACUGAGACACGGCCCAGACUCCUACGGGAGGCAGCAGUGGGGAAUUUUGGACAAUGGGCGCAAGCCUGAUCCAGCCAUGCCGCGUGCGGGAAGAAGGCCUUCGGGUUGUAAACCGCUUUUGUCAGGGAAGAAACGGUUCGUAUUAAUACUAUGGACUAAUGACGGUACCUGAAGAAUAAGCACCGGCUAACUACGUGCCAGCAGCCGCGGUAAUACGUAGGGUGCAAGCGUUAAUCGGAAUUACUGGGCGUAAAGCGUGCGCAGGCGGCUUUGCAAGACAGAUGUGAAAUCCCCGGGCUCAACCUGGGAACUGCAUUUGUGACUGCAUCGCUAGAGUGCGGCAGAGGGGGAUGGAAUUCCGCGUGUAGCAGUGAAAUGCGUAGAUAUGCGGAGGAACACCGAUGGCGAAGGCAAUCCCCUGGGCCUGCACUGACGCUCAUGCACGAAAGCGUGGGGAGCAAACAGGAUUAGAUACCCU